UACGGAGGGUGCAAGCGUUUAAUCGGAAUUACUGGGCGUAAAGCGUGCGCAGGCGGUCUGUUAAGACCGAUGUGAAAUCCCCGGGCUUAACCUGGGAACUGCAUUGGUGACUGGCAGGCUUUGAGUGUGGCAGAGGGAGGUAGAAUUCCACGUGUAGCAGUGAAAUGCGUAGAGAUGUGGAGGAAUACCGAUGGCGAAGGCAGCCUCCUGGGCCAACACUGACGCUCAUGCACGAAAGCGUGGGGAGCAAACAGG
rnacentral:rRNA from 1 species